UGCCAGCCGCCGCGGUAAUACGGAGGGUCCGAGCGUUAUCCGGAAUCAUUGGGUUUAAAGGGUUCGUAGGCGGAUCUUUAAGUCAGUGGUGAAAUCCCAGAGCUCAACUCUGGAACUGCCAUUGAAACUGAAGAUCUUGAAUUUAGUUGAGGUAGGCGGAAUAUGUUAUGUAGCGGUGAAAUGCAUAGAUAUAACAUAGAACACCGAUUGCGAAGGCAGCUUGCUAAACUAACAUUGACGCUGAUGGACGAAAGCGUGGGGAGCGAACAGGAUUAGAUA
rnacentral:rRNA from 1 species